GGCUAAGUGGGAAAGCAGGUGGGACGACCAAAACAACCAGGAGGUUGGCUUAGAAGCAGCCAUCCUUUAAAGAUAGCGUAACAGCUCACUGGUCUAGAUAAGUUGUCCUGCGGCGAAGAUGUAACGGGGCUCAAGCCAUGAGCCGAAGCUGAGGAUGCCGUAAGGCAUGGUAGCAGAGCGUAGUGUGACAUAGUCUCAUGUGUCUUUCGAUCCUUCGGGAUCAUUGGACACAAGAGGCUUUCUGUGAAGCGGGCGCGUGAGCGAUCCCGUGGAGAGAUCACUAGUGAGAAUGAUGACAUGAGUAGCGACAAACAGGGUGAGAGACCCUGUCGCCGAAAGUCCAAGGGUUCCUGCUUAAAGCUAAUCUGAGCAGGGUGAGCCGACCCCUAAGGCGAGGCCGAAAGGCGUAGUCGAUGGGAACCAGGUUAAUAUUCCUGGGCCAGUAAGAAGUGACGGAUCUCGAGGGUAGUUCAUCCUUAUCGGAUUGAAUGGGCUGCUUAGAGGUUCCUGGAAAUAGCUCUUACAUAAGAUCGUACCCUAAACCGACACAGGUGGACUGGUAGAGAAUACCAAGGCGCUUGAGAGAACUAUGUUGAAGGAACUCGGCAAAAUACCUCCGUAAGUUCGCGAGAAGGAGGCCCGGUUCUAAGGCAACUUGGAGCUGGGGGCACAAACCAGGGGGUGGCGACUGUUUACUAAAAACACAGGGCUCUGCGAAGUCGUAAGACGACGUAUAGGGUCUGACGCCUGCCCGGUGCCUGAAGGUUAAAAGGAGGAGUGCAAGCUCCGAAUUGAAGCCCAGGUAAACGGCGGCCGUAACUAUAACGGUCCUAAGGUAGCGAAAUUCCUUGUCGGGUAAGUUCCGACCUGCACGAAUGGCGUAACGACUUCCCCGCUGUCUCCAACAUAGACUCAGCGAAAUUGAAUUGCCUGUCAAGAUGCAGGCUUCCCGCGGUUAGACGGAAAGACCCCGUGCACCUUUACUACAGCUUCACACUGGCAUUAGGCCGAACAUGUGCAGGAUAGGUGGUAGGCUUUGAAGCAGGGACGCUAGUCCCUGUGGAGCCUCCCUUGAGAUACCACCCUUGUUCUGCUUGAUGUCUAACCGCGGACCGUUAUCCGGUUCCGGGACCCUGUGUGGCGGGUAGUUUGACUGGGGCGGUCGCCUCCUAAAGAGUAACGGAGGCGCGCGAAGGUUGGCUCAGAGCGGUCGGAAAUCGCUCGUUGAGUGCAAUGGCAAAAGCCAGCCUGACUGCAAGACUGACAAGUCGAGCAGAGACGAAAGUCGGCCAUAGUGAUCCGGUGGUCCCGAGUGGAAGGGCCAUCGCUCAACGGAUAAAAGGUACGCCGGGGAUAACAGGCUGAUACUGCCCAAGAGUCCAUAUCGACGGCAGUGUUUGGCACCUCGAUGUCGGCUCAUCUCAUCCUGGGGCUGGAGCAGGUCCCAAGGGUAUGGCUGUUCGCCAUUUAAAGAGGUACGUGAGCUGGGUUUAGAACGUCGUGAGACAGUUCGGUCCCUAUCUGCCGUGGGUGUAGGAUACUUGAGAGGAGUUGCCCCUAGUACGAGAGGACCGGGGUGAACGAUCCACUGGUGGACCAGUUGUUAUGCCAAUAGCAGUGCUGGGUAGCUAUGAUCGGAAAGGAUAACCGCUGAAGGCAUCUAAGCGGGAAGCCCCCCUCAAAACAAGGUAUCCCUGAGAGCCGAGGUAGACCACCUCGUCGAUAGGCUGGAGAUGUAAGUGCAGUAAUGCAUUCAGUUGACCAGUACUAAUUGCUCGAUAGGCUUGAUUUGA
rnacentral:rRNA from 1 species